UUGGACGUGGUGUAAGGCGCACACCCGCGGAUCGUAAUAGACUUGUCAGCCGUCUCUACCGGGAAGCCUGGGUUCGAUUCCCAGCGUCCGAA